GAUGAACGCUGGCGGCGUGCCUAAUACAUGCAAGUCGAGCGAACAGACGAGGAGCUUGCUCCUCUGACUUUAUCGGCGGAGGGGAGCGUAACACGUGUAUAACCUACCUAUAAGACUGGGAUAACUUCGGGAAACCGUAUCUAAUACCGGAUAAUAUAUUGAACCUGAUUGGUCAAGAGUGAAAUACGGUUUUGCUGUCGCUAAUAGAUUGAAACGCGCCGCAUUAGUUAGUUGGUUAGGUAACGGAUUACCAAGGCGACGAUGCGUACCCGACCCGAGAGGAUGAUCGGCAACACGGCAGCUGGGACACGGACCAGCACCGUAAGGGAGGCAGCACUAGGGAACCUACGGGAAGGGGCGAAAGGCAGAAGGAGAAAAGGCGCGAGAGUGAUGAAGAUCUUCGGAUCGUAAGACUCUGUGAUUAUGGAAGAAUAAAUGUGUAAGUACCUAUGUGCGAAUUGACGGUACGGAAUAAGAAAGCCACGGUUAACUACUG
rnacentral:rRNA from 1 species